AACGAACGCUGGCGGCAGGCUUAACACAUGCAAGUCGAACGGUUGUAGCAAUACAGCAGUGGCAGACGGGUGAGUAACACGUGGGAACCUUCCUAGGGGUACGGAACAACUCAGGGAAACUUGAGCUAAUACCGUAUACGUCCGUGAGGAGAAAGAUUUAUCGCCCUUAGACGGGCCCGCGUCGGAUUAGCUAGUUGGUGGGGUAACGGCCUACCAAGGCGACGAUCCGUAGCUGAUCUUAGAGGAUGAUCAGCCACACUGGGACUGAGACACGGCCCAGACUCCUACGGGAGGCAGCAGUAGGGAAUAUUGGACAAUGGGGGCAACCCUGAUCCAGCCAUGCCGCGUGAGUGAUGAAGGCCUUAGGGUUGUAAAGCUCUUUUGUGCGGGAAGAUAAUGACGGUACCGCAAGAAUAAGCCCCGACUAACUUCGUGCCAGCCGCCGCCGUAA
rnacentral:rRNA from 1 species